rnacentral:siRNA from 1 species
UGGAGGGCGUCCUAUCUCUGC